AGUGGAGAUAUGAACAGUAGGGAUAAUGAUUUAGUGGAGUAUCAAUCUCCUUGCAGGUGUCCUUUUUGCAGCAUACUGGUUGUAUGCAGAAAAGAGGUUAACCAGUUUGUGAUAGACCAAACCAGGAUACAAGUUGUUUACUGCCCAUCCUUCUGGAAUCAAAUAAUGUCUCUUCUGUCAGAUGCUGCACUUGCGCAGCUUAUUGCAGAAGUUGGAACAUUGCCUUUUUUUCCAGAAUGAAUAUGCUUUUGAGAACAUAAAACUGUUCUCUUGACAGCUUUAUUGGAUUUUCCAUGACAUUCCACAGUGCUGGAAUUCUUUUGGCACAAGUAAAUACCUAUAAAUGCUACAGGUGUUUGUACAGCUUUGUGGCCAUGCAGCUUAAAGAAGUUCAUGAAGGAGGCUGUGUUCUAGUGUCAGAAAUGACUUAGACUGGAGGCCCAAACCAAAGAAAUUCAGAUACAAGUUCCAGCAGUGUAUCAUUUCUCAGUAUUUCAUUAAGGAUGUUAGAUUGGAAGAUUUCUUCUUCAACAUUAUGUUAGAACUUAAUUUGCAUGAACGCUUAAAUCCUGUUAAUGUUAGCCAUAUAUUCUGCGAACUUUCUCCUGAAAACUCCAUAUUUUCUGAUGGAGUUUACUCGUCUAAGUCUAAACUGAAGCCCUUCAUCUGAUAUUCUUUUUGCUGGCUGCAAGGUAUUGAUAAUUUGGUAUGUCCAUGCAGGGUUUGAACCAUUUUCAGAACAAUAGCUGGCGUGGCAGCUUCUUGUGACUAUAAAAUCUCUC